CACAUCCCAAAGAAGCCUCGUUAAAUGGACAGAGAGCAAGGGCUCGAUAAAAGUAGCAAUGCCGCAGUGUAAAAGAGGGUGGCAUCCUCAUUUGUCAUCAUGUGUCCAAAUCCCCGAUUGGCCGAUUGUUUCUCCAAUCAGCAAUUAGGCAGCACCAAAGAUAUGAGCCAGAGCCAGCUGGCCAUCCCAGUCACUCUGAGCGACGUCCCCCCAUCCAUCGCCGAGAUGCUGAACGAUGAGGAGCACUGGGAAUUCAACAUCCUGGAGCUGGAGGCAGCUACACACAAGAGGUACAAGGAUGGGGGAAACUGAAACAAGACACCAAAUUGAUCAGAAAAGACGGCCCAUUUUAGUUGAAGCAAUAACAUGGUACUCAUUUCAAAUGGUUUUUACUUCAGCAGUUACUUGGAUUAUUACUGUAUUACAUUCUUUUGCAUUCUCAAAGCUGGAAGCUGAUAUUUUCCUGCCCAAAUGUUGACGUUUUUGUCAUCUAUACUGAACACAAUGCAAGUACA